CCUACGGGAGGCAGCAGUGGGGAAUAUUGCGCAAUGGGCGAAAGCCUGACGCAGCGACGCCGCGUGAGGGAUGAAGGUCUUCGGAUCGUAAACCUCCGUCAGCAGGGAAGAACGGUCACUGUGCUAAUCAGCAUUGCAUUGACGGUACCUGCAAAGGUAGCACCGGCCAACUCCGUGCCAGCAGCCGCGGUAAUACGGAGGGUGCGAGCGUUAAUCGGAAUUACUGGGCGUAAAGCGCUCGUAGGCGGUAUGUCAAGUCAAGGGUGAAAUCCCCGCGCUCAACGUGGGAACUGCCUUUGAAACUGGCAAACUGGAGUGUGUGAGAGGAUAGUGGAAUUCCAGGUGUAGGAGUGAAAUGCGUAGAUAUCUGGAGGAACAUCAGUGGCGAAGGCGACUAACUGGGACAUAACUGACGCUGAGGAGCGAAAGCGUGGGUAGCAAACAGGAUUAGAUACCCUAGUAGUC
rnacentral:rRNA from 1 species